GCCUGGGUGGCACAGCGGUUGAGCGUCUGCCUUCAGCUCAGGGCGUGAUCCCGGUGUUGUGGGAUCGAGCCCCACAUCAGGCU
rfam:Ailuropoda melanoleuca scaffold351_21, whole genome shotgun sequence.